CAAAACUAAAACUCUGUAUGUGUUUCAGGCAGAGCGGCCACAUAGUCAAAGAAAAAUAUAUACCAAUGUUUAUUCAUGACUCAGGAAUGUAUGGACUUUAUUUAUACUUCUAUAUAAUUUUUAUAAUUAAAAUGACCCUGUAGUCAAUAACAAUUUAAUUGUACAUUAAAAUAAUGAAGUGUAGAAUUGGCUUGUAAUACAAAGGAUAAAUGCUGAAGGUAAUAGAUACUUUAUCCUGAUGUGACUAAUACAUAUUAUAUGCCUGUAUCAAAACAUGUUAUAUAUUGCAUAAAUAUAUACACAUUUGGCCAGGUGCAGUGGCUCAUGCCUGUGGUCCCAGAACUCUGGGAGGCCGAGGCAGGCAGAUCAUGAGGUCAGAAGAUCGAGACCAUCCUGGCCAACAUGGUGAAACUCCAUCUCUACUAAAAAUACAAAAAUUAGCCUGGUGUGAUGGUGGACGCCUGUAAUCCCAGCUAUUCGGGAGGCUGAGGCAGGAGAAUCACUUGAACCGGGGAGGUGGGGGUUGCAGUGAGCCAAGAUCAUGCCACUGUACUCCAGCCUGGGUGACAGAGCGAGACUCCAUCUCCAAAAAAAAACCCAAACAAGUAGUGGGCGCCUGUGGUCCCAGCUACUUGGGAGGCUGAGGCAGGAGAAUGGAGUGAACCUGGGAGGCGGAGCUUGCAGUGAGCCAAGAUCGCGCCACUGCACUCCAGCCUGGGCGAGAGCAAGACUCUGUCUCAAAAAAAAAAACCAAACAAACAAAAAAAAUUAUGAAUAGCACAAAGAAUAAAAUAAGGUAAUUAAAAUCAUACUAUGUACCCACAGAAAUUAAGAACAGUAAGUUUAAAUAAGACAAAAAAGAAUAUUUAACCUAUAGAAAAAUAUUCUUUAACUUAUUUGCAGUUGAAAGCCACUGGUGAAAUAGAUUAAUAGAAAUGUUAGUCCAUUAUGUUACCAAAUAGUAUAUUGUUACCAUCUUUUACAUACACUCUUGAGUAAGGUGAAAUAGGUUAAAGUUAGAAGCAUAAUAAUGCUUCAUUGAAUGUACAAUGGUCUUAACACAUUUUUUUAAAAGUUAUAUUUACAUGUAAUCUAAAAAUUUAAAAAUGUACAUUUAAUUACAUAAAAUUACAAUAAGUAAAAUGACUUACUAAUUUAACCAAUUUUAACUAAAAUAAAAAACUUUUGUCACUAUAAUGCAGAAGAAUAUUACUCUGAAAACCUAUCUCCUGCAUCACUCCUUUAUAAGUUAACCACAAAGAGCCUCUCCAGUUACAUUUUCAUCACGCAUCUUUUUUUUUUUUUUUUUUCUUUUUGAGAUGGAGUUUGACUUUUGUUGCCCAGGUUGGAGUGCAAUGGUAUGAUUUCGGCUCACUGAGACCUCCACUUUCCAGGUUCAAGUGAUUCUCCUGCUUCAGCCUUUGAAGUAGCUGGGAUUAUAGGUGCCUGGUAAAUUUUUGUAUUUUUAGUAAAGACAGGGUUUCACCAUGUUGGUCAGGCUGGUCUCAAACUCCUGACCUCAGGUGAUCCACCGGCCUCAGCCUCCCAAAGUGCUGGGAUUAUAGGCAUGAGCCACCAUGCCUGGCUGCAUCUUACACUUUAAUAUCCUUACUGUUCCAUAAAAAAUGUUUUAAAUAAUGCCCACCUAAUAAAAGAAUCUCUCAUAUCUUUGGUGCAGCAACAAUUGGUCACAUGCUUUCACAUGUGAAUAUAGCAGGAAUGAAAAAAGAGCAUAAAGUUAUUUGAGAGUUUAAUUACAUCAUUAUUCACUAAUUUAAAAAUCAGUAAUUUUUUCAAGAUAAAAGUAUACUUUAAUUGUAAUUAUAACUGAAAAUCUUCUACUUCUUUUAAUGUUAUAUACAAAUAAUUUAUCCACCAAGUUUUAUUUUGUGUUGUUUUCUGUACUUAGCACUGAUUUAGUGUAAUGUCUGAAGUGUCCGCGCCUUAGAUAUUUCUACUGUGAAUUCUCAGAUAUUUACAUAAACUUAAUUUCGGAUUAAAUUUUUUUCAUUUUUACUGCAUCUGCAAAAACAUAUUUUAGUAUGAACCCUGUGGUGUUUUCUAUGCUGUGGUUUUUUUAAAAAUGUUUUUCCAAACUGAUUACAUUUGUAGGGUUUUUCUCCAAUAUAAAUUCCCUGAUGUUGAAUAAACUUUGUACUAUCAACCAAGCAUUAUAGACCCUCAUGUUUUAUAAGCUGUAGUUUUUCAAAACUGUUUUUACAAAUUUAUUACAUUUUCCAGGGGUUUUUUCCAAUAUAAAUUUUCUGAUGUUGAACAGUAUUUGAGCAACUGCUUCAGGGUUUUCUUUAGUACAAAAUGUGUACAAUAAGAUCUGUGAUGCAAGUAAUGGUACUACAACCCUCUUAAUAUUUGUAAUGUUUGUCUUCAGAAUGAAUUAUCUUCUUCACUUUAAAGGCUUUUAUUUUCUGAAAGAUCUUUUGACACUAGUUGCAUCUAUAAUGGUUUUAUUAAGUACAGACUCUCUGAUGUUGAGUAAGAUAUGAGCACAUAUUAAUGGCUUUUCCACAUUCUUUGUGUAUAUACCUUUUUCCAAGUAAAAAUUCUUUCCUGUGCAAUAAGGUUUGAGGAUUGGGUAAAAGCUUUG
rnacentral:lncRNA from 1 species